rnacentral:rRNA from 1 species
GACGAACGCUGGCGGCGUGCUUAACACAUGCAAGUCGAACGGUGAAGCGCCUUCCUUUUUGGUGGGUGUGGAUGAGUGGCGAACGGGUGAGUAACACGUGAGUAACCUGCCCCCUUCUUCUGGAUAACCGCAUGAAAGUGUGGCUAAUACGGGAUAUUCUGGGUCUGUCGCAUGAUGGGUCUGGGAAAGAUAUUGUUUCGGUGGGGGAUGGGCUCGCGGCCUAUCAGCUUGUUGGUGGGGUGAUGGCCUACCAAGGCGGUGACGGGUAGCCGGCCUGAGAGGGUGGACGGUCACACUGGGACUGAGACACGGCCCAGACUCCUACGGGAGGCAGCAGUGGGGAAUAUUGCACAAUGGGCGCAAGCCUGAUGCAGCGACGCCGCGUGAGGGAUUGAGGCCUUCGGGUUGUGAACCUCUUUCGCCAGUGAAGCAGGCCUGCCUCGUUUGUGGGUGGGUUGACGGUAGCUGGAUAAGAAGCGCCGGCUAACUACGUG